rnacentral:lncRNA from 1 species
GAUAAAGAUUCCCAGGCUAAUAUGGCUCGCGAAGCUUCUGAUUUCUACACCCCUUGCAAUCAACGUACUGUACUACGCUAAUUCGAAGACGGAAGAAAUCAGGGUGAAGGAAAAGGAGAGGCGACGUGCCGCGGCAACCGACUUUCCUCUGGUCUAUGUUCAUCCGGACGACGCACAGAAAGAGGCCAGGAUGCUGGUUGCGCUUCCGGUUCAGACGGCUAGAACACCGGCUCUCGAGUCGACCCUGUUGGAAACCACCCGCUCGGCGUUGGAAAACAGCGCGGCGUCGGAUGGACGCGACGAAAAGGCGGAUCGGCACGGGCAGGCAAACGCGGAACCUGAGUCGAAGGCCGUCGAGGAAACGAAGGAAAAGAAGCUACGCGGCAAGACUACAUUUACCGUUGCCUAGUUAGGAAAAGGGGUCGAUUUUUUUUUUGGCACAGCACUGCCGAGAAUUGUGUAAA